CGGGAAUCUUGGGCAAUGGGCGAAAGCCUGACCCAGCGACGCCGCGUGAGGGAUGAAGGCCUUCGGGUCGUAAACCUCUGUCGGGAGGGAAGAAUGGCGGUAGGGCGAAUAGUCCUGCCGUUUGACGGUACCUCCAAAGGAAGCGCCGGCUAACUCCGUGCCAGCAGCCGCGGUAAUACGGAGGGCGCAAGCGUUGUUCGGAAUCACUGGGCGUAAAGCGCGUGUAGGCGGCCGGGCAAGUCGGAUGUGAAAUCCCGAGGCUCAACCUCGGAACUGCAUUCGAAACUGCUCGGCUCGAGUCCCGGAGAGGAUGGCGGAAUUCCCGGUGUAGGGGUGAAAUCCGUAGAUAUCGGGAGGAACACCAGUGGCGAAGGCGGCCAUCUGGACGGUGACUGACGCUGAGACGCGAAAGCGUGGGGAGCAAAC
rnacentral:rRNA from 1 species